rnacentral:ncRNA from 2 species
UUUCAUACAUUAAGAUCAGGUGUUUUUAAAAAAGCUUGCUUUUUUAGGACUUAAAAGGGAAGUUGGUGUAAUUCCAACGCGGUCCCGCCACUGUAAAUGGGAGCUUUUGUGCAUUGUCCACUGUACAUGUCCGUAUGGGAAGGAGCACAAAAGCAAUGACCAUGAGCCAGGAGACCUGCCUGAUUCUUACACCAGCA